GAAAUGAGCUCUGAAUGCCUUUUUCCUAGAGCCUGAGCCCUGGAACCUGUAGCCAACAGGAAGUAAUAGUGUCUGACCUUAGCAAUGCCUGCAAGGUACUGAGCAGUAAAGACUUAACCUCUUUAAGAUGCAAAGUUGGAAGGAGCUGGAAGCCUGCUGGAUAAUUCAUAGACAAACCUAUACAAAGCCUUUUUACAACAAAGACAGGACCAAUGUAUUGAUUUGCCCAUGAGUUGGAUUGAAGGGAGAUGGAGUUGCACAAAGAUGUCAGCCUCACUGUCUCUUCAGAAGCCAUUGAAAUCCAGUGGCAAGACAAAAGUCAGGAUGACUGGCGAUGACCCAGGAUGCAAUGGAUGACCUUGGCAUCUUCGGGGUUUGACUGAGCUCUAAGGGCUCCACAGUGCCUGCUUCAGCCUCCUUCGUGGCCAUCGGAACAAACUGUGCUCAUCUGCUUGUUCCACCAGCAGGGAGGGAUGUCUUCACAUGCUUGGAGUAAAUACCCCCUACCUCACCAACAGGCAUGCCCCUCAAUCUGGCUUAGCCCCUGCGGUGAGAUGGUUCUACCAGGGUGUGGCCACUGUGCAUGCAGCAUUUGGAACCACAGGUUCCAAGGUGGAUGAGCAUCCCUGAAAAUGGCUCAGCAAGCCAUCACAGAAGAGGUGCUAGUCCUCCCUAAGCACCCCAUACACCCCAGAAGUGCUAGACAAGCCCCUACAUGUAACAGUCUCCCAGAAAUCUUAGUGCAGAUUUAAGCUUUAAUAGCUUAAUAAUGCACUGUUUUGUUAGAUAAUAAAGCAGAAUGGGACAUUCCA